rnacentral:rRNA from 1 species
GAUGAACGCUGGCGGCGUGCCUAAUACAUGCAAGUCGAACGCUUUGUGGUUCAACUGAUUUGAAGAGCUUGCUCAGAUAUGACGAUGGACAUUGCAAAGAGUGGCGAACGGGUGAGUAACACGUGGGAAACCUACCUCUUAGCAGGGGAUAACAUUUGGAAACAGAUGCUAAUACCGUAUAACAAUGACAACCGCAUGGUUGUUAUUUAAAAGAUGGUUCUGCUAUCACUAAGAGAUGGUCCCGCGGUGCAUUAGCUAGUUGGUAAGGUAAUGGCUUACCAAGGCGAUGAUGCAUAGCCGAGUUGAGAGACUGAUCGGCCACAAUGGGACUGAGACACGGCCCAUACUCCUACGGGAGGCAGCAGUAGGGAAUCUUCCACAAUGGGCGAAAGCCUGAUGGAGCAACGCCGCGUGUGUGAUGAAGGGUUUCGGCUCGUAAAACACUGUUGUAAGAGAAGAAUGACAUUGAGAGUAACUGUUCAAUGUGUGACGGUAUCUUACCAGAAAGGAACGGCUAAAUACGUGCCAGCAGUCGCGGUAAUACGUAUGUUCCAAGCGUUAUCCGGAUUUAUUGGGCGUAAAGCGAGCGCAGACGGUUAUUUAAGUCUGAAGUGAAAGCCCUCAGCUCAACUGAGGAAAUUGCUUUGGAAACUGGAUGACUUGAGUGCAGUAGAGGAAAGUGGAACUCCAUGUGUAGCGGUGAAAUGCGUAGAUAUAUGGAAGAACACCAGUGGCGAAGGCGGCUUUCUGGACUGUAACUGACGUUGAGGCUCGAAAGUGUGGGUAGCAAACAGGAUUAGAUACCCUGGUAGUCCACACCGUAAACGAUGAGUGCUAGGUGUUUGAGGGUUUCCGCCCUUAAGUGCCGCAGCUAACGCAUUAAGCACUCCGCCUGGGGAGUACGACCGCAAGGUUGAAACUCAAAGGAAUUGACGGGGACCCGCACAAGCGGUGGAGCAUGUGGUUUAAUUCGAAGCAACGCGAAGAACCUUACCAGGUCUUGACAUCCCUUGACAACUCCAGAGAUGGAGCGUUCCCUUCGGGGACAAGGUGACAGGUGGUGCAUGGUUGUCGUCAGCUCGUGUCGUGAGAUGUUGGGUUAAGUCCCGCAACGAGCGCAACCCUUAUUACUAGUUGCCAGCAUUCAGUUGGGCACUCUAGUGAGACUGCCGGUGACAAACCGGAGGAAGGUGGGGAUGACGUCAAAUCAUCAUGCCCCUUAUGACCUGGGCUACACACGUGCUACAAUGGCGUAUACAACGAGUUGCCAACCCGCGAGGGUGAGCUAAUCUCUUAAAGUACGUCUCAGUUCGGAUUGUAGGCUGCAACUCGCCUACAUGAAGUCGGAAUCGCUAGUAAUCGCGGAUCAGCACGCCGCGGUGAAUACGUUCCCGGGUCUUGUACACACCGCCCGUCACACCAUGAGAGUUUGUAACACCCAAAGCCGGUGGGGUAACCUUCGGGAGCCAGCCGUCUAAGGUGGGACAGAUGAUUAGGGUG